rnacentral:lncRNA from 1 species
AAAAAAUAAUCAGAUGGCACCAUCAGUCCUCUUCCAGACAAAUGAUGUAUCCAUGUUGUCAGUCCAUGAUCAUUCAAAUAUAUGUCACUUGUCUUCUUCCCCAAAUCCGGAUAUAAAAGUUUCAUCUUGUGGGCAAUAAAACCCGAUACAUAACUGAUCCCCUGAAAGUUGAGAUCCCAUUGUUUGAACUGAUCUAGUUGAUGGUUUAGUGAAAAAUCCAUGUGAACUUCAUGAGGGAUAUCAAACGUCAAUUCCAAUUCUGAACAGCUUUCUUCACCAAUUGUGAUAUAUAAGAUGUCUUCACCGGAUUGCUCACCAAAGUUUCACAAUUUUUUCCAAUUUCCAGAAUUCUUGUCCUUUUCAUUGCUCCAACGGCUCCAGGGUGAUCAUCAUCACCGCCAGCACUUCUCAAACGGGUAAAAAAAUUUCAAGGCAAUUUUGAUUAGUUCUGGACAUCAAAAUCAAAGAAAGAGUACCAUUAGAAAUCAAAUCAUGGUACAAGGCUCGAGUUGAUUUGAUUGAAACACGCAUACCUCUCUGCCAUGCCAAUUCACUCUUAUUUCCCCUUCCAAUGACCUUAAAUGUAUACAAACAAAAAUUCCAUUUUAUCCAAGGCAAUAAAUUGAUCUUCAAAAUC